AUUGAACGCUGGCGGCAUGCUUUACACAUGCAAGUCGAACGGCAGCGCGGGGGCAACCCUGGCGGCGAGUGGCGGACGGGUGAGUAAUGCAUCGGAACGUAUCCUGUAAUGGGGGAUAACUACUCGAAAGAUUAGCUAAUACCGCAUACGCUCGGGAGAGGAAAGUGGGGGAUCGCAAGACCUCACGUUAUAGGAGCGGCCGAUGUCUGAUUAGCUAGUUGGUGAGGUAAAGGCUCACCAAGGCGACGAUCAGUAGCUGGUCUUAGAGGAUGAUCAGCCACACUGGGACUGAGACACGGCCCAGACUCCUACGGGAGGCAGCAGUGGGGAAUUUUGGACAAUGGGGGCAACCCUGAUCCAGCCAUGCCGCGUGCGGGAAGAAGGCCUUCGGGUUGUAAACCGCUUUAGUCUAGGAAAAAGGAAUGCAGGAUUAAUACCCUUGUGUUUUGAUGGUACUGGAAGAAUAAGCACCGGCUAACUACGUGCCAGCAGCCGCGGUAA
rnacentral:rRNA from 1 species